rnacentral:rRNA from 1 species
UACGGGGGGGGCAAGCGUUGUUCGGAAUUACUGGGCGUAAAGGGCCCGUAGGCGGCCGACUAAGUCAGACGUGAAAUCCCUCGGCUUAACUGGGGAACUGCGUCUGAUACUGGAUGGCUUGAGUUUGGGAGAGGGAUGCGGAAUUCCAGGUGUAGCGGUGAAAUGCGUAGAUAUCUGGAGGAACACCGGUGGCGAAGGCGGCAUCCUGGACCAACACUGACACUGAGGAGCGAAAGCGUGGGGAGCAAACAGG